UUUUGAAAAAACAGAAUGGGUCUGAAUAAUUUCUGAAUGUGAGUCUGGGAGUUUCACAAUCAACUGCAAACUCACUCUGCUGUCUGCCCUAAUCUGAACUCACUCUGCUGUCUGCCCUAAUCUGAACUCACUCUGUUUACUGCCCUAAUCUGAACUCACUCUGCUGUCUGCCCUAAUCUGAACUCACUCUGCUGUCUGCCCUAAUCUGAACUCACUCUGCUGUCUGCCCUAAUCUGAACUCACUCUGUUUACUGCCCUAAUCUGAACUCACUCUGCUGUCUGCCCUAAUCUGAACUCACUCUGCUGUCUGCCCUAAUCUGAACUCUCUGCUGGCUGCCCUAAUCUGAACUCCCUCUGCUGUCUGCCCUAAUCUGAACUCACUCUGCUGUCUGCCCUAAUCUGAACUCACUCUGCUGUCUGCCCUAAUCUGAACUCUCUGCUGGCUGCCCUAAUCUGAACUCCCUCUGCUGUCUGACCUAAUCUGAACUCCCUCUGAACAGGAUAUAGAGGGUGCCUCCCUAAUGCACCCUUCCCACUUUAUAGUUCACUACUUUUGACCAGAGCCAAUUCUACAGAAACAAUAACAGUGGCUGUCUUAAAAAGACUUCCUCAUUUAUGUUUUGAUUCUGAAACGGAAACACAUUCUAAGCUUCCGGGGUCAAGAAAAUGUUAGGCUGCGUCCCAAAUGCCUAUAGGCCCUGAGCAAAAGUAGUGCGCUAAAUAGGGAAUAGAGUUCCAUUGGGAACUACACCCUGUCAGUGUGUUGUGAGGGCAUAUCUCUAUGCCUAACCAUGCUGUACCAUGCUUUACUAUUAGUCUCCACAUUAACUGUGUCGUUUAGCUUCUUCCUUGUAUACAAAGUAGCAGUUCUAGAAGACGACAUCAACAAACUCAGAGGAGAUAUUUCAAACCUAAAGCCACAUUCUAAAGAAUCCCCAGACGGGAUGAUAACUGGUAUGUCCAGAACAUGGGAGAGAUCAAAGCAAGUGGCUUCCCUAAAUUCCCAGCAACAGAGACAGACAGAGAAAGACUCUCAGACUCUGUGUUCCUCGACAGUAUCCUCUCUGAGAAUGAAACGGGAGCAGGCCGGCUGUAGUGGAGUUCAGCAGUCGUUUCUGCAGCUGUCAGCCAACACAAAGGAACAGCCAUUUGUCAGAGGAAAUGUGACGGUGAUUCCUUGGAUAGUUGCCUUGCAUCAAGGGGAGGCCAUCUCUUCCACUGGAGACAGAAUCAUCAUCCAACAAGAAGGCUUCUUCAUAGUGUUUGGCCAGGUAUAUUGUCAGAGAUACCACCCCUUUGUCUUGCAUAUCAAUGUACUUAAUGGUUUAUGCGGCAAAUGUAAGGGAGAUGGUUCGGUCACCAUGCUAACCUUGCUUGAGGCCUUAGGCUUGGGAGAUGGUUCGGUCACCAUGCUAAACUUGCUUGAGGCCUUAGGCUUGGGAGAUGGUUCGGUCACCAUGCUAACCUUGCUUGAGGCCUUAGGCUUGGGAGAUGGUUCGGUCACCAUGCUAACCUUGCUUGAGGCCUUAGGCUUGGGAGAUGGUUCGGUCACCAUGCUAACCUUGCUUGAGGCCCUGGGCUUGGGAGAUGGUUCGGUCACCAUGCUAACCUUGCUUAAGGCCUUAGGCUUGGGAGAUGGUUCGGUCACCAUGCUAACCUUGCUUAAGGCCUUAGGAUUGGGAGAUGGUUCGGUCACCAUGCUAACCUUGCUUGAGGCCUUAGGCUUGGGAGAUGGUUCGGUCACCAUGCUAACCUUGCUUGAGGCCCUGGGCUUGGGAGAUGGUUCGGUCACCAUGCUAACCUUGCUUGAGGCCUUAGGCUUGGGAGAUGGUUCGGUCACCAUGCUAACCUUGCUUGAGGCCUUAGGCUUGGGAGAUGGUUCGGUCACCAUGCUAACCUUGCUUGAGGCCCUGGGCUUGGGAGAUGGUUCAGUCACCAUGCUAACCUUGCUUGAGGCCUUAGGCUUGGGAGAUGGUUCGGUCACCAUGCUAACCUUGCUUGAGGCCUUAGGCUUGGGAGAUGGUUCGGUCACCAUGCUAACCUUCCUUGAGGCCUUAGGCUUGGGAGAUGGUUCGGUCACCAUGCUAACCUUCCUUGAGGCCUUAGGCUUGGGAGAUCGUUUGAUUCCAUAAAGUGGGCCACAACUGGGUAAGUAAAGUUUUUACACCUAAUGGUGCUACGAUGCUCUGAGAUACGUACUUUUAAUUCACGCUUUGUUUUACCCACAUCAUUUUUACCACAAGGAUAAGAUAAAUAACUGCCUUAGUGGAGCACGUAAUAACACCUUUAAUUGGGAUCUGUUUCCCUGUUUGGGGGUGUUUGAAGGAUCUACAUUUAUAAGUGCCAUUGCAUUGAGCACAGCCUUUACACUUGUAGUUCCCAUCCAGGAGAGGCGCAAAUAGACGUUGUGCAGGGAUAUCUUAGGAGUGGUAAAUCAGAGUUUACCAAUUGAUCUCUGAGGGUUCUGCCCCAUUACGAUGACUACAUGGUUCGUCCUGUUGUUUCCCAGGUGUUGUUCCAAAGUCCAGGCACCAUCAUGGGUCACAUAGUGCGUAGUCGAGGAACCAAUCAGAGAUCCACAGAGCUGCUCCGCUGUCUACAGGAGAUGCCCCAGACCAACUGUGCCAAUACCUGCCACACUGGAGGCAUGGUGAAGCUGGAGAGAGAAGACGAGUUGGAGCUGGUGAUCCCAGAUCGACCCCAAGCCCAGGUCUCCAUGGACGCAGACUCAACCUUCUUUGGCAUCAUACGGCUGAACUGACUACCAGGAGACAGAAGUCACCAGCAGGAGGUGUGGGACUUGAUGUCAUGAACAGGAUGAUGUCCUCCUCUGACAGGAUGAUGUCCUCCUCUGACAGGAUGAUGUCCUCCUCUGACAGGAUGAUGUCCUCCUCUGACAGGAUGAUCUCCUCCUCUGACAGGAUGAUGUCCUUCCCCGACAGGAGGAUGUCCUCCUCUGACAGGAUGAUGUCCUUCCCUGACAGGAGGAUGUCCUCCUCUGACAGGAUGAUGUCCUUCCCUGACAGGAUGAUGUCCUCCUCUGACAGGAUGAUGUCUUAUUGUUGUAACAACUUUCAUCCAUGGAGAGUUUUAUCCAUGGAGAGUGGAAGAUGGCUGGGAGCAGAAAUGUUAUUUUUAUAAACUAUUUUAAUAUGAAUAAUCUGACAAUAUGAAAUCGACCUUGAAUGCUGUUGUGCUGAGUACGGGUGGUGUCCAGCAUACAUUAAAUGUUUGGUUUCCAUAUGUGUCGAUAGUUGAAGUGUAAUAUAGUAUUCAGGUUGUCCUGAUCCACCUGGUUGGUUGUGUGCCACGCAUCAUCAACGUAGGAUUCUUCCUCUGUGUGUGUGUGUGUGUGUGUGUGUGUGUGUGUGUGUGUGUGUGUGUGUGUGUGUGUGUGUGUGUGUGUGUGUGUGUGUGCUCUGUCAUCACAGAGUAUGUGUGUGUGUGUGUGUGUGCUCUGUCAUCACAGAGUAUUUCUGUGUGUUUGUUGAUACCUUUCAGGUUUUCCUUCCUCCCACUCUCCUUUCGUUUAUUUAUUCUUCCUUUCUAUUUCAGAAAGGCUUCUGUUUUCCCAGGACUAUAGCAGGAACAAACAGAGGAUAAAUAUACCUGGCUCGGAGGGCAGAUUUUCCAGACCGGUUGACAUAAUAUCUAAUCUAAUGACACAAUAAUUGUGAUGAUCCAACAUGUGACGUGUCUAAAUCAUGUUUAAUGGUUAUUUUGAAGGCCACAGCCCAUUUGUAUUGUAUUUCAAAUAUAUAUUCUAUAAAAGAGCUUAUUUUUCUACACUAAUAACAAACGUGUCAAUAAUAAGAUGUGUAAUUUC